GAUGAACGCUGGCGGCGUGCCUAAUACAUGCAAGUCGAGCGAACAGACGAGGAGCUUGCUCCUCUGACGUUAGCGGCGGACGGGUGAGUAACACGUGGAUAACCUACCUAUAAGACUGGGAUAACUUCGGGAAACCGGAGCUAAUACCGGAUAAUAUAUUGAACCGCAUGGUUCAAUAGUGAAAGACGGUUUUGCUGUCACUUAUAGAUGGAUCCGCGCCGCAUUAGCUAGUUGGUAAGGUAACGGCUUACCAAGGCAACGAUGCGUAGCCGACCUGAGAGGGUGAUCGGCCACACUGGAACUGAGACACGGUCCAGACUCCUACGGGAGGCAGCAGUAGGGAAUCUUCCGCAAUGGGCGAAAGCGUGACGGAGCAACGCCGCGUGAGUGAUGAAGGUCUUCGGAUCGUAAAACUCUGUUAUUAGGGAAGAACAAAUGCGUAAGUAACUAUGCACGUCUUGACGGUACCUAAUCAGAAAGCCACGGCUAACUACGUG
rnacentral:rRNA from 1 species